UGAGGAAUAUUGGUCAAUGGGGGCAACCCUGGACCAGCCAAGUCGCGUGAAGGAUGAAGGUCUUAUGGAUUGUAAACUUCUUUUAUACAGGAAUAAAUUGGGGGACGUGUCCCCUUUUGCAUGUACUGUAUGAAUAAGGAUCGGCUAACUCCGUGCCAGCAGCCGCGGUAAUACGGAGGAUCCGAGCGUUAUCCGGAUUUAUUGGGUUUAAAGGGUGCGCAGGCGGGAUGUUAAGUCGGCGGUGAAAUUUUGCAGCUCAACUGUAAAAGUGCCUUCGAUACUGGCUUCCUUGAGUGUAGAUGAAGUAGGCGGAAUUUGUGGUGUAGCGGUGAAAUGCUUAGAUAUCACGAGGAACUCCGAUUGCGCAGGCAGCUUACUAAACUACAACUGACGCUCAUGCACGAAGGCGUGGGGAUCAAACA
rnacentral:rRNA from 1 species